GGACGGAGAAGGGGGCUGUAUUUCCCCUGGCGUGUGAAAUGGAUGUUAGUGACUAAAGCUCAAUUUUCCAGUUAAGGGAGGAGCCGAGACUUUUAAGUCGAGUGUUCCUGUGGGGCCAAAAGGAUGGUUUCAGAGAAAUCCCAGGAAGUGAGAGUGCUGGGAUAUGCGAGGGGCCCACGGAGCCCUCCCCUGCGUGUCUGAGAUCACACCCUGCGGGUACCCUGCCGUCGUGUGCUGAAGGAGGAUACAAGAUGGAAAAAAAAGCUAUUGAACUUGUGGAGAAAGUGGCUGGUUUAAAUUAGUCCUGUCCCUGAAAAUCCAAGCUGCGUGUUUGUCAGUCUUAUGGCUGAUUUAACUCAUAGGCCCAGGAGAGAAAGGAUAGAAGGAAGCCUGAAUGACCAGCAAAGAAUCUGCAUCCAAUCAACACUCAGAGCAUGUAUGCUACAUUCUUCAGAAACCUUCAGGAGUCAUAGACUGUGAUUGUAUCUGCUUCCCUGUGUCUACUUGCUGGCUUGGAACUUAUUAAGAUUGGAUCCUUCCUGGAAGAAAUUUGCUGAUGGAGGCAGAAGGACACUCAGAAUUGAAACUGUGUGAGCUUUGGUGCCUGGGAUCCUUACUUGCUGUUGCCCAUACUUAAUUCAAAUACUCAAUGGAUAUUUAUUAUGUCCUAGGGCUAUAAGAACAUAAGAAAAAGACCCCUGAAACUAGGAAAGAAAGCUUCAAAGAGAUGGUCAUUUAGACAUUUUUAAAGAAUGAGAGGAAUUGUUGGAGAAGAUUGGCAUGGGAGAAGAGAAUUGAAGCAGAGGGAACAGCAUGUACAAAGGUACAAAGAUGUGAAACAGAAUGACCCGCUGGAGGAACUACAUCCUACUGACUAGAAUAUAGUGUCCAUGUGGGCCUGUGGCACAAGGAGAGAUAGGAACCCAAACCCGGUUGGAAAAUACGUGGGCCUGUGGCACAAGGAGAGAGAGGAACCCAAACCCGGUUGGAAAAUACAAUCUGGGAGGCAGCUGCGGGGUGUGGAGGAGCCUCAGGUUAUUCACUAUCUACAGCAUGCCCAGGUAGAGUGGUUUCAGCAGUCAGAGAGUGCCCUCAGGCAAAGAAUAGCAGCUGCUGACAGCUGGAAAUUGUAAUCCAUGGUAAUGGUUGCAGCUGAGAUGUGGGUGGGUACCCCCAGCAUCUCCUAGAUCAACCAUACAUUUGUGUGAGCCAUUUGGUUUUCUCUAGUAGGUCUUGAUUUAAGUUCCUGAACUCUGCCCACCACCACCAGCAGCCAUGACUUCUUGGCAAGACUCCAAACCCCUCCCUACCUUCACUCUUUAGGUAAGUUGUUUAAAGAUGCUAUGCCUCCUUGGGAAUUUCAUUGAUUUCCAUGUUCCAUUCUGCCUGUUCAGCCUCUGCCAACCACUGUCCUGGACUCUCUGGCAGACUGUGCCUUCCUGGUUCUUGUUGGUUACUGGUUGCUUACUGGUUGCAGCCCUAUACCUGUUCUUGAACCCCAACUAUUGACCCUGUCCUAGGUUUAGUUUACUAACAUGGUCUAAAUUCUAGUACAGUGAUAACUUGAAGAAGCUCAGGCCUAACUUACUAACCAUAAUAUCUUACCCUAUUGGAACUGAGCUUUUCCCAAAGAGUACCUCCAGUGUCUUCGCUCCAUCAGGAUCAGUCAGUCCUACCCUCACCCAACUAUCUAUAGCCCUAAAGGACCACUGAUCAUGGCAAGUUAAGGCAAUUAUCAAUAAGGAAGAACAAUGAUAAAGUAUUAGAAGAAGUUAAGUUAAAACCUUGUGUUGCUGAAUUUGAAAUAGAGAAGUAUCAAUAUUAACUUGUAAGGUAUUUUAUCUUUUAAAAAUUCCCUUGCUCUGUCCACUGAAAAGCCAAGAAAUAAUGAUCAACCUAGUAUCAAUGAAUAUCUCUAGAGCCAAUAUUGUGAAUCUGAAAUCUAUUUUCCAUUAAAAGAAAUCAUGGCUGAUUCUAGAUCUAGGGCAGGAAAUGUACAAGAUGAGUCUGGAACAUCUUAUAAUAGAAAGGAAGGAAGGAAGCUACACAUGAUCAUUAGGUGUAGGGUCCAGCCCUACAGGGCUUAGCAGGUGUUCUCCCCGUGUGCAAAGAUGAGAGAUUGUAAGAAAUAAAGACACAAGACAAAGAGAUAAAGAGAAAACAGCUGGGCCCGGGGGACCACUACCACCAAGACACAGAGACCGGUAGUGGCCCUUCCCUUUUAGGUAGCCGAAGCAAAGAGGGAAGGCAGUAUAUGUCAGCGUUUUCUUCCAUGCACUUAUAAGAAAGAUCAAAGACUUUAAGACUUUCACUAUUUCUUCUACCGCUAUCUACUAUGAACUUCAAAGAGGAACCAGGAGUAUGGGAGGAACAUGAAAGCGGACAAGAAGCGUGACCAUUGAAGCACAGCACCACAGGGAGGGGUUUAGUCCUCCGGAUGACUGUGGGCAGGCCUGGAUAAUAUCCAGCCUCCCACAAGAAGCUGGUGGAGCAGAGU
rnacentral:lncRNA from 1 species